UACGGAGGGGGCUAGCGUUGUUCGGAAUUACUGGGCGUAAAGCGCACGUAGGCGGCUUUGUAAGUUAGAGGUGAAAGCCCAGGGCUUAACCCUGGAAUUGCCUUUAAGACUGCAUCGCUAGAAUCGUGGAGAGGUGAGUGGAAUUCCGAGUGUAGAGGUGAAAUUCGUAGAUAUUCGCAAGAACACCAGUGGCGAAGGCGGCUCACUGGCCCGGUACUGACGCUGAGGCACGAAAGCGUGGGGAGCAAACAGG
rnacentral:rRNA from 1 species